GACUUGUCUCUCCAGAAUGACUAUCCUCCAUUUCUAGGUCCCAAAUCACAACCAUGAAGUUGAUCUUAUGGUACUUGGUUGUGGCACUUUGGUGCUUCUUCAAAGAUGUGGAAGCCUUACUUUACCGACAAAAAUCAGAAAUACAGAAAAGAGAAUCAGGUGGCUUUUUUUAUGGUAGUUCAUCCUCUGGUGACUCAGACAAAAAAAAGCCACUCUUUAGCUUUGAAUUUGGUGCUACAGGAGAGGAUGAAGACAAGUCCAGAGAACGCUGGGAUGCUGGGAAUUCAAGGUCAGAAGACAGCCCAGCAGGUGUCACAAGCUCGUCUGAAUAUAGUACGUCUGGACCACUCAAUACUCCAGAAAAAGGAUCCCACAUUCCAGAAGCAACUCCAAAAUACUCAGAAACAAAUGCAAUUAUUGGUGAAAUAUCUACCUGGAGCAAAGGAGCAUAUAAAUCUUUCAACGGCCGCAUCUUUUUCUUUGAAUCUUCAUGCCCAUACACUUUCUGCCGUCACUGCAUUGAAUCUGGAGGGGAUUUCAAUAUUGAGAUCAAACGAAACAAUGAUAGUGAGAUUGAAAAAAUAACAGUUCUAAUUGACAAUAACGACGUCUCUAUUUUUGGUGACACCAUUUUAGUUAAUGGAGAAAGAUACCAUAUAACAAUAAGUUGAUUCACAUAAAAAAAUAUGGAGAACAUAAUGUUCUGAAUAGCCGUAGAGGAAUCCUGACUUUAAUGUGGGACAAAAAUAACAAACUCUCGCUCACUCUUCACAAGCAGUAUCCAACUUGUGGUCUUUGUGGUAACUUCAACAGCACUCCAGGGCAAGAUAUUAAUGAGCACAUUGCCAAUAGUAAAAUUCCUGGUGAUUGUCCCAAUGCUGUUGGUAAAAGCUAUGAAGUUUGUGAAGAUGGAAUACAGCACUGUAACAAAAUUAUUGGAACCUACUUUGAGAAAUGUGGAAAGGUUGCUGCUCUAUCCAAUGACUACAAAAUGAUCUGCAUUGAUGAAUACUGCCAAACUAGAGACAAAACAUCUACAUGUGACACUUAUUCAGAACUGUCCCGCCUCUGUGCCUCAGAUGGUCCUGGCACCUUUGAAUCCUGGCGAAGCGACUCCGAUGUGGUUUGUGGAACACAAAGAUGUCCAGAACAACAUAUCUACAAAGAAUGUGGACCCUCCAACCCUGCAACUUGUUCUAAUGUGGCUCCUUUUCAAGACAGUGAAUGUGUGAGCGGCUGCACCUGCCCAGAAGGUUAUCUGUUGGAUGACAUUGGAGAGAAAGGAAAAUGUGUAUUAAAAGCUGAAUGUCCCUGUGAAUCCAGUGGAACAGUGUAUCAGCCAGGAGAAGUCCGAGAAGGUCCUUGUGGUUCUCAGUGCACAUGCCAAGAUGCAAAGUGGUCUUGCACCGAAGCAUUAUGCCCUGGAAGAUGUAAGGUGGAAGGAAGUUCCCUUACCACCUUUGAUGGUGUUAAGUACAACUUUCCUGGAAACUGCCACUUCCUGGCCGUUCACAAUGAAGAUUGGUCUAUUAGUGUUGAGCUCCGUCCGUGCCCAAGUGGUCAGACAGGAACGUGCUUAAAUAGCGUUACACUUCUCUUGAAUUCUUCUGUUCCAGUUGACAAAUACGUAUUCAACAGUGAUGGAACAGUCACAAAUGACAAGAUUAGAAAUCAAGGUUAUUACUAUUCAGAUAAAAUACAGAUAUUCAAUGCAUCUUCCUCAUACCUUCAAGUAGAAACAUACUUUCAUGUGAAACUACAAAUACAAAUUGUUCCUGUGAUGCAAUUGUAUGUUUCUAUGCCACCCAACCAAUUCACAGACACUGUGGGACUCUGUGGUUCCUACAACAACAAAGCAGAGGAUGAUUUCAUGUCAAGUCAGAAUAUAUUGGAGAAGACAUCUCAGGCAUUUGCUAACUCUUGGGAAAUGAUGUCCUGUCCUAAAGGAAACCCCUCUUCAUGUAUUAGUAUAGAAAAAGAAAAAUUUGCUGAAAGGCACUGUGGAAUUCUUCUUGAUUCAAGUGGGCCUUUGGCUUCCUGCCACCCAAUUGUGAACCCUAAACCCUAUCAUGAGGAAUGCAAAAAAUAUACUUGCACUUGUGAAAACAGUCAGGACUGCCUAUGUACAAUUUUAGGCAACUAUGUGAAAGCGUGUGCUGAGAAGGAAACAUACAUAGUGGGAUGGAGAACUGGCCUAUGUGAACAUUCUUGCCCAAGUGGCCUAGUGUUCAAGUACAAUGUAAAAGCCUGUAAUAGUUCUUGCCGAUCCUUGUCAGAAAGAGAUAGGAGCUGUGAUGUAGAAGAUGUUCCAGUUGAUGGAUGCACCUGCCCUGAUGCAAUGUACCAGAAUAAUGAAGGAAACUGUGUACUGAAAUCUCAGUGUGACUGUUACAUAAACGACGAGGUCAUGCAACCAGGCAAACUCAUCCAUAUUGAUGACAAUAAAUGCGUCUGUCGGGAUGGAAUUCUUCUUUGCCAGAUUCCCAUUGAUUUAACCCUACAAAAUUGUUCUGGAGGGGCUGAGUAUGUAGACUGCAGUGAUCCCAAGGCACAGAGAAGAACCAACAGAACAUGCAGUACUCGGAACAUACCUGUUUUUGAUGAGAACUUGCCUUGCAAACGUGGGUGCUUUUGUCCAGAAGGAAUGGUUCGAAAUUCUAAAGGGAUAUGUGUCUUUCCUAAUGACUGUCCAUGCUCUUUUGGUGGACGAGAAUAUGAUGAAGGAAGUGUCACUUCUGUUGGCUGCAAUGAAUGUACCUGCAUUAAAGGGUCUUGGAGUUGUACCCAAAAUGAAUGUCAAACCAUCUGCCACAUCUAUGGGGAAGGUCAUGUUAGAACUUUUGAUGGGAAGAGUUACAGUUUUGACGGUCUCUGCCAGUAUUCAUUUCUUGAGGAUUAUUGUGGUCAUGAAAAUGGCACAUUUCGUAUUUUAACGGAGAGUGUUCCAUGCUGUGAAGAUGGGCUAACGUGCUCAAGAAAAAUUAUAGUUGCUUUUCAGGAUCAGAAUAUUGUCUUGCAAGACGGUAAAGUAACAGCAGUCAAAUCUACAGAAAGUAAGAAAUGUGAACUCAAUGCAAAUGCAUACUCCAUACAUACUGUUGGCCUGUACUUAAUUCUGAAAUUUCAAAAUGGAAUAAUCGUGAUUUGGGACAAAAAUACAAGACUGUCUGUUAUUCUGGAUCCAAACUGGAAUGGCAAAGUGUGUGGUCUUUGUGGAAAUAACAAUGGUGAUCUCAAGGAUGAUUUCACAACAAGAUACUCUUCAGUAGCUUCUGGAGCACUGGAAUUUGGGAAUAGUUGGAAAACAAGCCAAGAAUGUUCAGAUACAGUGGCUCAGACUUUCCCAUGUGAUUCAAACCCAUACUGUAAAGCCUGGGCUGUGCGGAAAUGUGAGAUCCUCAGAGACAGCACCUUCAGAGACUGCCACAACAAGGUUGACCCCAGUGCUUACCAUGAUGUGUGCAUUGAAGAAGCCUGUGCAUGUGACAUGGAGGGGAAGUACCUGGGAUUCUGCACUGCCGUGGCUAUGUACGCAGAGGCGUGUAGUGCAGUUGGAGUCUGUGUCUCAUGGAGAAAACCAAAUCUGUGUCCUGUCUACUGUGAUUACUACAAUGCGCCUGGGGAAUGCAGAUGGCAUUAUGAACCUUGUGGCACAGUGACUGCAAAAACAUGCAAAGAUCAGCUCGUUGGCCAGAAAUUUUCUUCACUUUUAGAAGGUUGUUAUGCUAAGUGCCCAGAUAGUGCUCCUUACUUGGAUGAGAACACCAUGAAAUGUGUCAGUUUAUCUGAGUGCAGCUGUUUCUAUAAUGAUGUCAUACCAGCAGGGGGAGUGAUUGAAGAUAAUUGUGGAAGAACAUGCUACUGCAUUGCAGGGCAGUUGGAGUGCAGUGAAACUGCUCCUACCAAUUCAACAUUUGCAGUUUCCACUACAACAGCUACCACCAUAUUAAGCACCGGAGCAGCAAUUACACUGGUUACCGGUGGCCCAAGCACAGCAGCAUCCAUUCCAGCGAUUACAACAUCAAGCAGUGAAACAACAGGAACAACUCUAGGUCCUCUCACCGAACCUUUUACUACAGGCAUUACUGAAACUUCAGUUCCCAUCAUCUCAACAUCUGGAAAUGCAGGCAUGACAGGAGUAGUGAGCCCCACCGUCACUGGUGCUUCAGGCAUGGCAGGAACAACUGGAGGAGUGGAUGCAGCCACCACUGGAGCUGCUAGUGAAAAUACAUCUGAGAGAGCAGGCACACCGAGGGUAUCUGGAGAAACCCCUGCAGUCGGAGGUGGCAGUACCCCUGGAGAAGCAGGCCCUGGAGCCACAGUUUCUGGAAGUACAGGAGUUUCUGCAGGCUCCAUCACUGCCAGCCCUGGAGCCUCAGCCACAAGCUCUGAAAGCAGCAAAUCAGGAACUACUGGACCCUCAGUGGGUGGAAAAACUGGAGCCACAAGCAGUGAAGCGACAUCAUCUGAAGGCAUGUCAGGUGUAACAGGACAGUCUCUUGGAUCUACUGCUGGAUCUGACAGUGAAAUCACAGCUAAAACAUCUUUCACUGGUUCCAGUCCACCUGGGAAACUCACCAGGCCAAGCCCGGGCUCACCUGGUCACUUUAGUGGUGGAACAACUGAAUGGGGAAAUGUAGCCACCACUGGAGCUGCUGGUGAAAACACUUCUGGAGCAUUGGGUUCAACAGAAGGGUCUGUGGAAGCCACCACCAGCGCAGGCAGUGGAAACACAGCUGGAACAUCAGGUACUGGGGACACUGGCCCUGGUAACACAGCAGUCUCAGGCACACCUGUGGUAUCACCUGGAGCAACUCCUGGAGCUCCAGGUAGCAGCACCCCUGGGGAAGCAGACAUUGGAAACACCAGUUUUGGAAAAUCAGGCAAGUCUGGACAUGACUCCUUAACAGUUCUCAACCCUGCCUUCCUCAGAAGGACCCCAACAGUAUCUGCUGCCUCAACUACCAGUAGCCCUGUGAGUAAACACACCGAUGCAGCCUCAGCCACAGCAGUGACAAUCUCUGGAAGCAAACCAGGUACACCUGGAACACCAGGUGGUGCAACUAGUGGAGGCAAAAUUACAUCUGGAUGGUCCAGCAGUGGCACCAGCACGGGCGCUUCAAAUACACCAGGGGCAACAGGAUCAUCGACCGGACAGACAGACACAAGUGGACCAUCAGCUAAAGUAACAGGGAAUUAUGGACAAUCAUCUGAAAUACCAGGGACAAUUAAAUCAUCAUCUGAUGUUUCAGGGACAAUGGGGCAAUCAGAUACAACAUCUGGACCAUCAGUUGCAGUGACAAGGACUUCUGAACAAUCGUCAGGAGUCACGGUGGCAUCUGAACCAUCAGUUGGAGUAUCAGGGACAACUGGACCAUUAGCUGAAAUAUCAGGGACAACCAGACCAUUAGUUUCAGGGUUAAGGACAACUGGAUCAUCAGCUGAAGGAUCAGGGACAACUGGACCUUCAUCAAGAGAAUCAGUGACAACUAGACCAUUAGCUGAAGGUUCAGGGACAAGUGGACAAUCGGUUACAGGAUCAAGAGCAACUGGAUUAUCAGCUACAGAAUUAGGGACAACUGUGUCUUUUACUGGAGGAUUAGGUACAAGUAGAUCAUCUGCUAGAGAAACAAGGACAACUGGACCAUCAGCUGACGGGUCAGGAACAACUGGACCAUCUGUUGUGAGAUCAGGGACAACUAGAUUAUCAGUUGGAGUGACAAGAGCAACUGAAUCAUCACCUGGAGUGACAGGAACAACUACACCAUCAGCUGAAGAAUCCAGGACAACAGGACCAUCUGUUCUAGUGACAGGAACAACUGGACAAUCAGGCCAAGGAUCAGGGACAACUGGAAAAUCUUUUAUAGAAUCAGGACCAUCUGUUGUAGGAUCAGGGACAACUGGACCAACAUCUGCAGGAUUAGGAACAACUGCACCAUCAACCAGAAGAUCAAGCACAACAAAACCAUCAGUUGGAAGAACUGGGACAACUGGACAAUCAGGUGCAGAAUCAGGAACAACUGAACCAUCAGCUAGAGUGGCAGGUGUAACUGGAACAUCAGCUGAAGUAUCAGGAAGAAUUGAACCAUCAGCUACAGAAUCAAGUACAAGUAGACCACUAGGUGAAACAACAGGGACAACUAUACCAUCAAUGGAAGGAUCAGAGGCAACUGGACCAUCUGUCAUUGGAUCAGAAACAACUAGACUAUCAGUUAUAGGAUCAGGGACAACUGGAACUUCAUCUGGAGGUUCAGGUGCAACAAGAUCAUCAGGUGGAGGAAUGGGGACAACUGGACAAUCAACUGCAAGAUCAGAAACAACUGGACCACUUUUUGGAUUGACAGGAACAUUUGGGCAAUCUGCUACAGUGACUGGGACAUCUUCAAAUUCAGCUGGAGUGACAACACCUGAAAAAUCACCUGGAGUGGCAAUGACAACAGGACUGUUGGUUGAAGGAUCAGCUACAACUCAACCACGUAUUUUAGAAUCAGAAACAACUGAAUCAUCAGCUGGAGUGAUAGUGACAUCUGGACAAUCAGCCAGAGUGACUGGGGCAACUGGACCAUCAGCUGGAGAGACAGGAACAACUGAACCAUCAACUGAAGGAUCAGUUGCAGCUGUAUUAUUUGUUAUUGGAUCAGAAACAACUAGACCAUUAGAUAUAGGAUCAGGGACAACUGGAACUUUAUCUGGAGGUUCAAGUACAACAAGAUCAUCAGAUGGAACAACAGGGACAACCAGAAAAUCAACUGCAAGAUCAGAAACAACUGGACUUUCUGGAUUGACAGGAACAUCUGGGCAAUUGGCUGGAGUGACUGGGACAUCUUCAAAAUCAGCUGGAGUAACAGUGACAUCUGAAAAAUCAGCUGGAGUUGCAGUGAUAACAGGAUCAUUUGUUGAAAGACCAGUCACAACUGGACCACCUCUUUUAGAAUCAGAGACAACUAGACCAUCAGGUGGAGUAACAGUGACAUCUGGACAAUCAGCCAGAGUGACUGAAACAGUUGGAGCAUCAGCUGGAGUGACAGGAACAACUGGACCAUCAACUGAAGGAUCAGGGGCAACUGGACCAUCUGUUGUGGGAUCAGGAACAACUAGACCAUUAGCUGGUGAAUCAGGUACAACUGAGUCAUCAGCUGGAGUGACAGGGACAAGGCCAUCAUCAUCAAGAGAAUCAGCAACAACUGGACCAUCAGAUGAAGGAUCAGGAACAACUGGACUAUCAGCUGGAGUGACAGUGACAUCUGGACAAUCAGUUAGAAAGACUGGGACAACUGGAGCACCAGCUGGAGUUACAGAAACAACAAGACCAUCUGUUGUCAAAUCAGGGACAACUGGACCAUCUGUUAUAGGAACGAGGACAACUGGAACUUCAUCAGGAGGAUCAGGUGCAACAAGAUCAUCAGGUGGAGAAACAGAGACAACUGGCCAAUCAGCUGUAAAAUCAGGGACAACAGAAUCAUUUACUAGGUUGACAAGAACAUCUGGGCAAUCAGCUGGAAUGACUGGGACAUCUGCACAAUCAGCUGGAGUGGCACUAACAAGUCCUUUUGUUGAAGGAUUAGUGACAACUGGAUCAUCUACUGUAGGAUUAGAGACAACUAGACCUUCAGCUGUAGGAUCAGGAAAAACUGGACCUCCUGUUGUAAAAGCACAGACAACUGGACCAUCAGCUGGAGUGACAGUGACAUCCGGACAAUCAGCUAGAAUGACUGGGGCAAGUGGACCAUCAGUAGGAGUGACAGGAACAACUGGACCAGCAAGUAAAGGAUUAGGGACAAUUAGACCAUCUGUUGUAGGAUUAGAGACUACUGAACUAUCAGCUGAAGGAUCAGGGACAACUGGACCACCUAUUGUAGGAGAGACAACUGUACCAUCAGCUGGAGUGACAGUUACAUCUGGAUACUCAGAUAGAGUGACUGGGGCAACUGAACCAUUGGCUGGAGUAACAGGAACCAUUAAACCAUCUGUUGCAGGAUCAGUGACAACUGGACCAUCUGUUACAGGAGUAGAGACAACUGCAAAAACUACAUCUGGAGGAUUAAGUACAACUAUAUCGUCAGUUGGAGGAACAGGGACCACUGGACAAUCACCUGAAAGAUCAGGGACAACAGGACCAUUUACUGGAUUGACAGGGACAUCUGCACAAUCAGCUGGAGUCACAAUGACAUCUAUCCAAUCAGCUGGAGUGCUAGUAACAACAGGACUAAAUGUUGAUGGCUUAGGGACAACUGGAAAAGCUCUUAUAGGAUCAGGAACAACUGGAUUAUCAGCUGAAGCUACAGGGACAAUUGGACCAUCAACUGAAGGAUUAGAGAAAACUGGACCAUCUAUUACUGGAUCAGGAACAACCAGACCAUUAGUUACAGAAUCAUGGACAGCUGGAACUUCAUCUGGAGGACAUAGUACAACAAGUCCAUCAGUUAGAGGAACAGAGACAACUGGACAAUCAGCUGCAGAAUCAGUGACAACAGGGCCAGUUACAGGAUACACAGAAACCUCUGGUCCAUCAGCUGGAGUGACAGUGACACCUCGGCAAUCACCUACAGUGACUCAGACAACUGGAUCAUCAGCUGCAGUAUCAGGGACAACUGUACAAUCUCUUACAGUAUCAGGGACCACUAGACCAUCAUCUGGACAAACAGAAAUAACUGGAUCGUCAGUUAAAGAAUCAGGGACAACUGAAUCAUCAGCUGUAAGGUCAGGGACUACUGGACCAACAGCUGGAGUGACAGGUACAAAUGGACCAUCAUCAGCUGGAGUGACAGGGAUAACUGGAUCAUCACCUGGAGUGACAGGGACAACUGGAUCAUCACCUGGAGUGACAGGGACAACUGGAUCAUCUGCAAGAUCAGGGACAAGUAUACCAUCAGUUGGAAAAACAGGAACGACUAGAACAUCAGUUGAAGAAUCAAGGACAACUAGACCAUCAGCUGGAAUAACAGGUACAAAUGGACUAUCAGCUGAAGUGACAGGGACAACUGGACCAUUAGCUGGAGUGACAGGGACAACUGGACCAUCAGCUGGAGUGACAAGGACAACUGGACUGUCAGCUGGAGAGACAGGGACAACUGGACUAUCACCUGGAGUGACAAGGACAACAAGAUCAUCAGCUGGGCUAACAGGGAAAACAGGACUAUCAGCUGGGGUGACAGGGAAAACUGGACUGUCAGCUGAAGUGACAGGGACAACUAGACUAUCAGCUGGAGUGACAGGGACAACUGGACCAUCACCUGGAGUAACAGGUACAACUGGAACACCAGCUGGGGUUACAGGGACAACUGAACUAUCAGCUGGAGUGACAGGGAAAACUGGACUAUCAUCUGAAGUGACAGAAACAACUGGAUUAUCAUAUGGGGUGAAAAGGACAAUUGGACUAUCAGCUGGGUCGACAGGGACAAGUGGACAAUCAGCUGGAGUGGCAGGGACAACUACACUAUCAGCUGAAGUGACAGGGACAACUAGACCAUCAGCUGGGGUAACAGGGACAACAGGACUAUCAGCUGAAGUGACAGAGAUAACUGGAAUAUCAGCUGUGGUGACAGGGACAACUGGACCAUCAGCUGGGGUGACAGAGACAACUGGAUCAUCAGCUGGAGUGGCAGGGACAACAAGACUAUCAGCUGGAGUGACAGGGAUAACUGGACUAUCAGCUGGAGUGACAGGGACAACUGGACUGUCAACUGAAGUGACAGGGACAACUGGACCAUCAGCUGGGGCGACAGGGACAACUGGACUAUCAGUUGGAGUGACUGGGAUAACUGGGCUAUCAGAUGUAGUGACAGAGACAACUGGAUCAUCUGCAAGAUCAGGGACAGGUAUACCAUCAGUUGGAGAAACAAGAACAACUAGCACAUCAGUUGAAGAAUCAAGGACAACUAGACCAUCAGCUGGAAUAAUGGGUACAAAUGGACUACCAGCUGAAGUGACAGGGACAACUGAACCAUUAGCUGGAGGGACAGGGACAACUGGAAUAUUAGCCGGGGUGACAGGGACAACUGGACUAUCAGCUGGGGAGACAGGGAAAAUUGGAUCAUCAGCUGGGGUGACAGGGAAAACUGGAUCAUCAGCAAGAGUGACAGGAAAAACUGGACCAUCAGCAGAAGUAACAGGGAAAACUGGACUAUCAGCUGGAGUGACGGGGACAACUGGACUAUCACCUGGAGUGACAGGGACAAGUGGACUAUCAGCUGAAGUGACAGGGACAACUGGCCCAUCAGCUGAAGCUACAGGGCUACCUGGAGUAUCAGCUGGGGUGACAGGGACAACUGGAUCACUAGCUGGAGGGACAGGGACAAUUGGACUAUCAGCUGGGGUGACAGGGACAACUGGAUCAUCAGCUGGGGUGACAGGGACAACUGGACUAUCAGCUGGGGUGACAGGGAUAGCUGGACUCUCAGCUGGGGUGACAGGGAUAACUGGACCAUCAGCUGGAGUGACAGGGACAACUACAGUAUCAGCUGGAGUAACAGGGACAACUGGACUAUCAGCUGAAGCAACAGAGAUAACUGGACUAUCAGCUGGGGUGACAGGGACAACUGGACUAUCUGCUGGGGUGACAGAGACAAUUAGACUAUCAGCUGGGGUGACAGGGACAAUUAGAUCAUCAGCUGGGGUAACAGGGAUAACUGGACUAUCAGCUGGAGUGACAGGGACAACUGGACCAUCAGCUGGUGUGACAGGGUCAACUGGACUAUUAGCUGGGGUGACAGAGACAACUGGACAGUCAGCUAAAGUGACAGGGACAACUGGACAAUCUGUCGGAGUGACAGGGACAACUAGAUCAUCAGGUGGAGUGACAGGGAUAACUGGACUAUCAGCUGGAGUGACAGGGACAAAUGGACUAUCAGCUGUGACAGGAAUGACUGGACUAUCAGCUGAGGUGACAGGGACAACUGGACUAUCAGUUGGGGUGACAGGGAUAGCUGGACUCUCAGCUGGCGUGACAGGGAUAACUGGACCAUCAGCUGGAAUAACAGGGACAACUACCAUAUCAGCUGGAGUAACAGGGACAAGUGGACUAUCAGCUGAAGCAACAGGGAUAACUGGACUAUCGGCUGGGGUGACAGGGAAAACUGGACUAUCUGCUGGAGUGACAGAGACAAUUGGACUAUCAGCUGAAGCGACAGGGACAAUUGGAUCAUCACCUGGGGUGACAGGGACAACUGGAUCAUCAACUGGGGUGACAGGGAUAACUGGAUUAUCAGCUGGAGUGACAGGGACAACUGGAUUGUCAACUGAAGUGACAGGAACAACUGGACCAUCAGCUGGGGUGACAAGGACUACUGGACUAUCAGCUGGAGUGACUGGGAUAACUGGGCUAUCAGCUAUAGUGACAGAGACAACUGGAUCAUCCGCAAGAUCAGGGACAAGUAUCCCAUCAGUUGGAGAAACAGGAACAACUAGAACAUCAGUUGAAGAAUCAAGGACAACUAGACCAUCAGCUGGAAUAACGGGGACAACUGGACUAUCAGCUGGGGUGACAGGAACAGUUGGAUCAUCAGCUGUGGUAACAGGGACAACUGGACUAUCAGCUGGAGUCACAGGGACAACUGGACCAUCAGCUGAAGAGACAGGGGCAACUGGACCAUCAGCCGAAGUGACAGAGACAACUGGACCAUCAGCUGGGGUGACAGGGACAGGUAGACUAUCAGCUGAAGUGACAGGGACAACUGGCCCAUCAGCUGAAGUAACAGGGCUACCUGGAGAAUCAGCUGAGGUGACAGGGACAAUUGGAUCACCAGCUGGAGUGACAGGGACAACUCAGCUAUCAGCUGUGGUGACAGGGAUAACUGGACUAUCAGCUGAGGUGACAGGGACAACUGGACUAUCAGCUGGGGUGACAGGGAUAACUGGACUAUCAGCUGAGGUGACAAGGACAACUGGACUAUCAGCUGGGGUGACAGGGACAAUUGGACUAUCAGCUGGGGUGACAGGGACAACCAGACCAUCAGCUGGAGUGACAGGGACAACUGGACAAUCAGCUGAAGUGACAGGGACAACUGAACCAUCAGCUGGGUUGACAGAGACAACUGGAUCAUCAACUGGGGUGACAGGGGCAACUGGACCAUUAGCUGGAGUGACAGGGACAACUGGAAUAUCAACUGAAGUGACAGGGACAACUGGACCAUCAGCUAGGGUGACAGGGACAACUGUACUAUCAGCUGGAGUGACUGGGAUAACUGGGCUAUCAGCUAUAGUGACAGAGACAACUGGAUCAUCUGCAAGAUCAGGGACAAGUACACCAUCAGUUGGAGAAACAGGAACAACUAGAACAUCGGUUGAAGAAUCAAGGGCAACCAGACCAUCAGCAGGAAUAACAGGUACAAAUGGACAAUCAGCUGAAGUGACAUGGAUAACUGGACCAUUAGCUGGAGUGACAGGGACAACUGGAAUAUCAGCUGGGGUGACAGGGACAACUGGACUGUCAGCUGGGGUGACAGGGACUAUUGGAUCAUCAGCUGUGGUGACAGGUAUAAAUGGACUAUCAGCAGGAGUGACAGGGACAACUGGACCAUCAGCUGAAGAGACAGGGGCAACUGGACCAUCAGCUGAAGUCACAGGGACAACUGGACCAUCAGCUGAAGAGACAGGGGCAACUGGACCAUCAGCUGAAGUCACAGGGACAACUGGACCAUCAGGUGGAGUGACAGGGACAAAUGGACUAUCAGCUGAAGUGACAGGAACAACUGGCCCAUCAGCUGAAGUGACAGGGCUACCUGGAGUAUCAGCUGGGGUGACAGGGACAAUUGGAUCACCAGCUGCAGUGACAGGGACAAUUCGGCCAUCAGCUGUGGUGACAGGGAUAACUGGCCUAUCAGCUGAGGUGACAGGGACAACUGGACUAUCAGCUUGGGUGACAGGGAUAGCUGGACUCUCAGCUGGGGUGACAGAGACAAUUGGAUCAUCAGCUGGGGUGACAGGUACAAAUGGACUAUCAGCUGAAGCAACAGGGACAACUGGACCAUCAGCUGGAGUGACAGGGACAACUGGACUAUCAGCUGGGGUGACAGGGACAGCUGGACUAUCAGCUAGGGUGACAGAGAGUACAGGACUAUCAGCUGGGGUGACAGGGACAACUGGACUAUCAGCAGGAGUGACAGGGACAACUGGACCAUCAGCUGGAAUAACAGGUACAAAUGGACUAUCAGCUGAAGUGACAGGGACAACUGGACCAUUAGCUGGAGUGACAGGGACAAUUGGACUAUCAGCUGGGGUGACAGGGAUAGCUGGACUCUCAGCUGGGGUAACAGAGAGUACUGGACUAUCAGCUGGGGUGACAGGGACAAUUAGAUCAUCAGCUGUGGUGACAGGUAUAAAUGGACUAUCAGCAGGAGUGACAGGGACCACUGGACCAUCAGCUGAAGAGACAGGGGCAACUGGACCAUCAGCUGAAGUCACAGGGACAACUGGACCAUCAGGUGGAGUGACAGGGACAAGUGGAAUAUCAGCUGAAGUGACAGGAACAACUGGCCCAUCAGCUGAAGUGACAGGGCUACCUGGAGUAUCAGCUGGGGUGACAGGGACAAUUGGAUCACCAGCUGCAGUGACAGGGACAACUCGGCCAUCAGCUGUGGUGACAGGGAUAAGUGGACUAUCAGCUGAGGUGACAGGGACAACUGGACUAUCAGCUGGGGUGACAGAGACAAUUGGAUCAUCAGCUGGGGUGACAGGUACAAAUGGACUAUCAGCUGAAGCAACAGAGACAACCGGACCAUCAGCUGGAGUUACAGGGACAACAGGACUAUCAGCUGGGGUGACAGGGACAACUGGACCAUCAGCUGGAAUAGCAGGUACAAAUGGACUAUCAGCUGGGGUGACAGGGACAACUGGACUAUCAGCUAGGGUGACAGAGAGUACUGGACUAUCAGCUGGGGUGACAGGGACAAUUGGAUCAUCAGCUGUGGUGACAGAGACAACUAGACUUUCAUCUGGAGUCACAGGGACAAUUGGACCAUCAGCUGAAGAGACAGGGGCAACUGGACUAUCAGCAGAAGUGACAGGGACAACUGGAUCAUUAGCUGAAGUGACAGGGACAACUGGGCUAUCAGCUGGGGUGACAGGGACAAUUGGAUCAUCAGCUGUGGUGACAGGGACAACUGGACUAUCAGCUGGAAUAACAGGUACAAAUGGACUAUCAGCUGAAGUGACAGGGACAGCUGGACCAUUAGCUGGAGUGACAGGGACAACUGGACUAUCAGCUGGGGUGACAGGGACAACUGGACUAUCAGCUGGGGUGACAGAGACAACUGGACAAUCAGCUGGGGUGACAGAGAGUACUGGACUAUCACCUGGGGUGACAGGGACAAUUGGAUCAUCGGCUGUGGUGACAGGGAUAAAGGGACUAUCAGCAGGAGUGACAGGGACCACUGGACCAUCAGCUGAAGAGACAGGGGCAACUGGACCAUCAGCUGAAGUCACAGGGACAACUGGACCAUCGGGUGGAGUGACAGGGACAAGUGUACUAUCAGUUGAAGUGACAGGAACAACUGGCCCAUCAGCUGAAGUGACAGGGCUACCUGGAGUAUCAGCUGGGUUGACAGGGACAAUUGGAUCACCAGCUGCAGUGAGAGGGACAACUUGGCCAUCAGCUGUGGUGACAGGGAUAAGUGGACUAUCAGGUGAGGUGACAGGGACAACUGGACUAUCAGCUGGGGUGACAGGGAUAGGUGGACUCUCAGCUGGGGUGACAGGGACAAUUGGAUCAUCAGCUGGGGUGACAGGUACAAAUGCACUAUCAGCUGAAGCAACAGGGACAACUGGACCAUCAGCUGGAGUGACAGGGACAACUGGACUAUCAGCUGGGGUGACAGGGACAACUGGACUAUCAGCUGGGGUGACAGGGACAAUUAGAUCAUCAGCUGUGGUGACAGAGACAACUGGACUAUCAGCAGGAGUGACAGGGACAACUGGACCAUCAGCUGGAAUAGCAGGUACAAAUGGACUAUCAGCUGAAGUGACAGGGACAACUGGACUAUCAGCUGGGAUGACAGGGACAACUGGACUAUCAGCUAGGGUGACAGAGAGUACUGGACUAUCAGCUGGGGUGACAGGGACAAUUGGAUCAUCAGCUGUGGUGACAGAGACAACUAGACUAUCAGCUGGAGUCACAGGGACAAUUGGACCAUCAGCUGAAGAGACAGGGGCAACUGGACUAUCAGCAGAAGUGACAAGGACAACUGGAUCAUUAGCUGGAGUGACAGGGACAACUGGACCAUCAGCUGUAGUGACAGGGAAAACUGAACUAUCAGCAGAAGUGACAGGGACAACUGAACUAUCAGCUGAGGUGACAGAGAAAACUGGACCAUCAGCAGAAGUGACAGGGAAAACUGGGCUAUCAGCUGGAGUGAUGGAGACAACUGGACCAUCAGCUGAAGUGACAGGGACAACUGGAUCAUCAGCUGGGGUGACAGGCACAACUGGACCAUCAGCUGGAGUGACAGGGACAACUGGCCCAUCAGCUGAAGCGACAGGGCUACCUGGAGUAUCAGCUGGGGUGACAGGGACAAUUGGAUCACCAGCUGGAGUGACAGGGACAGCUCGGCUAUCAGCUGUGGUGACAGGGAUAAGUGGACUAUCAGCUGAGGUGACAGGGACAACUGGACUAUCAACUGGGGUGACAGGGAUAGCUGGACACUCAGCUGCGGUGACAGGGAUAACUAGACCAUCAGCUGGAGUGACAGGGACAACCACAGUAUCAGCUGGAGUAACAGGGACAAUUGGACUAUCAGCUGAAGCAACAGGGAUAACUCUACCAUCAGCUGGGGUGACAGAGACAACUGGACUAUCUGCUGGAGUGACAGAAACAAUUGGACUAUCAGCUGGGGUGACAGGGACAAUUGGAUCAUCAGCUGGGGUGACAGAGAUAACUGGACUAUCAGCUGGAGUGACAGGGACAACUGGACCAUCAGCUGGUGUGACAGGGUCAACUGUACUAUCAGCUGGGGUGACAGCGACAACUGGACAAUCUGUUGGAGUAACAGGGACAACUGGACCAUCAGCUGGUGUGACAGGGACAACUGGACUAUCAGCUGGGGUGACAGGGAUAGCUGGACUCUCAGCUGGGGUGACAGGGAUAACUGGACCAUCAGCUGGAGUGACAGGGACAACUACAGUAUCAGCCGGAGUAACAGGGACAACUGGACUAUCAGCUGAAGCAACAGAGAUAACUGGACUAUCAGCUGGGGUGACAGGGACAACUGGACUAUCAGCUGGGGUGACAGGGAUAGCUGGACUCUCAGCUGGGGUGACAGAGACAAUUGGAUCAUCAGCUGGGGUGACAGGUACAAAUGGACUAUCAGCUGAAGCAACAGGGAAAACUGGACCAUCAGCUGGAGUGACAGGGACAACUGGACUAUCAGCUGGAGUGACAGGGACAACUGGACUAUCUGCUGGGGUGACAGAGACAAUUGGACUAUCAGCUGGUGUGACAGGGACUAUUGGAUCAUCAGCUGGAGUGAAAGGGACAACUGGACAGUCAGCUGAAGUGACAGGGGCAACUGGACAAUCUGUUGGAGUGACAGGGACAACUAGAUCAUCAGGUGGAGUGACAGGGAUAACUGGACUAUCAGCAGGAUUGAGAGGGACAACUGUUUCAUCUGCAAAAGCAGGGACAAGUAUACCAUUAACUGGAAAAACAGGAACAACUAGAACAUCAGUUGAAGAAUCAACGACAACUGGACCAUCAGCUGGAAUAACAGGUACAAAUGGACUAUCAGCUGAAAUGACAGGGACAAAUGAACUAUCAGCUGGGGUGACAGGGACAAUUGGAUCAUCAGCUGGAGUGACAGGGACAACUGGACUGUCAGUUGAAGCAACAGUGACAACUGGACUAUCAGCUGGAGUGACAGGGACAACUGUCCCAUUAGCUGGGGUAACAUGGACACCUGGACCAUCUGCUGGAGUGACAGGAAUAGCUGCACUAUCAGCUGGAGUGACAGGGAAAAGUGGACUAUCAGCUGGAGUGACAGGGAAAACAGGACUAUCAGCUGGAGUGACAGGGACAACUGGACCGUCAGCUGAAGCAACAGGGAAAACUGGACUAUCAGCUGGAGUGACAGGGAUCACUGGACCAUUUGCUGAAGUGACAGGGACAACUGGAUUAUCAGCUGGGGUGAUAGGGACCACUGGAUCAUCAGCUGAAGUGACAGGAAUAACUGGACUAUCAGCUGGGGUGACAGGGAAGACUAGAUCAUCAGCUGGAGUAACAGGGACAACUGGAUUAUCUGCAAAAUCUGGGACAAGUAUACCAUCAGCUGGAAAAACAGGAACAACCAAAACAUCAGUUGAAGAAUCAAGGACAACUAGACCAUCAGCUGGAAUAACAGGUACAAAUGGACUACCAGCUCGAGCACCUCUGGGGUGGCACCUGGCACAACAGUUGCCCCUGGAAGUUUCAGCACAGCAGCUACAACUUCUCCUGGAGCAAGUGGAGUGACUGGCACUGGACCCACUGCAGAGACCACAACUUUCCUAGGAGGAAGUAGCACCACUGGAGCAGAAAUAAAAUCAGGAGCCACCACUGGAGCACCAGGAAGUAAGACAGGCACAGCUAAAGUGCUCUCUGGUACGACAGUUGCCUCUGGGAGCUCCAACUCAGAGGCUACAACUUUCUCUGGAAUCACUGAAGCAGUAACAGUCCCAAGUAAAAAUGGAUCUAUGACCACUGCACUGGGGAGCCAACUCUCCAGCAGUCAAACAGUGAUUCCAGGUUCCAGUGGCACCAUCUCUCACACAACUGUUGCACCUGGAAGUUCUGUUACAGGAACCACCACUGGUGCAUCAGAUGAUCAAGUCACUGGAAGUAAAACAGGCACUACUGGUGUGGCCUUGAGCACAACUGUUGCACCUGGAAGUUCCAGUACAGAAGCCACAACUUCCACAGGAGUCCAUAGAACCACUGUAGUGGGACAGAAGACAGGAGCUACCACUAGAGGGUCAGCAAAGCAAGGAACUAGAAGCACAAUAGAAGCUACGACGUCCUUUAGAGGCACUGGGACCACAGGAAGUGGAAUGAAUACAGGUACUACUGGAGUGGUCUCUGGCAACACCAUCUCACCUAGCAGUUUCAACACAGAAGCUACCAGUGGCACAUCUGAGAGGCCAAACCCUGGAAGUGAAAUAGGCACCACUGGCAUAGUCUCUGGCACAACAGUUGCACCUGGAAGUUCCAACACAGAAGCCACAACUUCUUUGGGCAAUGGUGGAACCACUGAGGCUGGAAGUAAAAUAGUUACCACUGGGAUAACUACUGGCACGACCAUUGUACCUGGGAGUUUCAACACAAAGGCUACCACUUCUACAGACGUUGGAGUUGCCACUGGAGUUGGAAUGGCAACUGGGAUCACCAACAUAAUUUCAGGGAGAAGCCAACCUACUGGAAGUAAAACAGGCUACACUGUAACAGGCUCUGGAACAACAGCCUUACCUGGAGGUUUCAGAACAGGCAAUACCCCAGGAUCAACGGGAGUCACCAGCAGCCAAGAAGGAACCACUGUGGUAUCAAGUGGAAUCACUGGAAUCCCAGAAACUUCCAUCUCAGGUCCUUCCAAGGAAGCAUCUGACAAAACCACUGCUCCUGGACCUCCUACCACAGUCACUGCUUCCACAGGAGUCAAAGAAACUUCUGAAACUGGAGUGCAAACAGGCUCCACCUUGGUUACAGCUGGAGUGCCAACAAGACCACAAGUAUCCCAGCCAGAAACCACUGUCGUGGCAACCAGAGAAGUAGAAACCGAAAAUAAAACAGAAUGUCUAGCCUCACUUCCACCAGCUCCAGUUUGUCACGGUCCAUUGGGAGAAGAGAAAUCUCCUGGAGACAUAUGGACUGCCAAUUGCCACAGAGGUACCUGUACUGAUGCAAAGACUAUAGACUGUAAACCUGAGGAGUGCCCUUCUCCACCCACAUGCAAAACCGGCGAGAAGCUUGUGAAGUUCCAAUCUAAUGACACCUGCUGUGAAAUCGGAUACUGUGAACCAAGAACAUGUUUAUUUAACAAUACUGACUAUGAGAUUGGUGCUUCAUUCGAUGACCCCAGCAACCCCUGUGUCUCCUACUCCUGCAAAGACACGGGCUUUGCUGCAGUAGUCCAGGACUGCCCAAAGCAAACCUGGUGUGCAGAAGCAAACAGAAUCUAUGAUUCAAAAAAAUGUUGCUAUACAUGUAAGAAUAAUUGCAGAUCUUCCCUUGUAAAUGUGACUGUUAUCUACAGUGGUUGCAAGAAAAGAGUUCAGAUGGCAAAAUGCACAGGGGAAUGUGAAAAGACUGCCAAGUACAAUUAUGAUAUCUUACUCUUGGAACAUUCAUGCCUUUGCUGCCGAGAAGAAAACUAUGAACUCAGAGACAUUGUACUUGACUGUCCUGAUGGCAGUACAAUCCCUUACCAAUACAAGCAUAUCACGACCUGCUCUUGUUUAGACAUAUGCCAACUAUAUACGACCUUCAUGUACAGUUAAUGCUGACAUCACCUUCCCAGUUUUAACAGGCCUGGUAUUUAUUUUAUAAGUGAGGAAAAAUAAUCAUUUAAAAAGUGAGAAUAAACUAAACAAUGUGAGAAUAACUCAAAACAA
rnacentral:lncRNA from 1 species